ensembl:lncRNA
UACAGAGUGAGAGAGAGUUACAGAGAGAAAGAGAGAUGGGUACAGAGUGAGAGAGAGUUACAGAGAGAAAGAGAGAUGGGUACAGAGUGAGAGAGAGUUACAGAGAGAAAGAGAGAUGGAGAGAUGGGUACAGAGUGAGAGAGAGUUACAGAGAGAAAGAGAGAAAGAGAGAUGGGUACAGAGUGAGAGAGAGUUACAGAGAGAAAGAGAGAUGGGUACAGAGUGAGAGAGAGUUACAGAGAGAAAGAGAGAUGGAGAGAUGGGAACAGAGUGAGAGAGAGUUACAGAGAGAAAGAGAGAUGGGAACAGAGUGAGAGAGAGUUACAGAGAGAAAGAGAGAUGGGAACAGAGUGAGAGAGAGUUACAGAGAGAAAGAGAGAUGGAGAGAUGGGAACAGAGUGAGAGAGAGUUACAGAGAGAAAGAGAGAUGGGUACAGAGUGAGAGAGAUACAGAGAGAUAGAGAGAUGGAGAGAUGGGUACAGAGUGAGAGAGAUACAGAGAGAGAGAGUUACAGAGAGAUGGAGAGAUGGGUACAGAGUGAGAGAGAGUUACAGAGAGAAAGAGAGAUGGGUACAGAGUGAGA